UUGCUCCGAUCCGUCCGUGUCCUGGCAGGUCUUGACUCGGCUGGAUUUUUUUAUUCCGAAAUAAAGUUUGACUUGCUAUGAAGACUUGAAGAUGUGAUGUGUCAGAGGACACAGUGAACCGUGUCAGUUGUGUCAUAAACCCGUUUCAGCUGAACUGAAGUCCAGAUCAGCAUCGUGAGCUGAUCCUUCGGCAGUUGAUUGCUCAGUGAUCUGCUGAGCCUGAAUGUGUGAAGAGCUGCUUUGGCUUCCUGUGGAUUUCCAACAUGUCGUCCUCCAGCGAGAGCCGUGUCUACCGGGGCGGUGCCGGUCACCUGUCAGGGCGCCAGGGUAAGCCGAUUAGAGGUGGGUGACCAGCAGCUUUAGGAAGCUUGUUUUUCCCUCCUGCCUGAAGCGUCCAGCAGCGAGUCGCCUUGUCUGGGAAACGGUGACUCCAAAGCUCUGCAGCAGAGCGCACCCUGGGGGCUUAGAGAGGAACAACCAGCGGUCUCAGGAACAUCUGGCAGCUCCCUGCAUGCUGCUACAUCUACUGCUCUCCGGUUGGGUCUCUGAAACAGGAGCCAGGUUCUGGUGAAGUGUUGUGGGGCCGGCAACACAAACGGUCAUCACCAGACGGAAAGGAAUCGUUUCUUGUUAAAUUCAGGGAAACUGGAAAGUAAACCUUAAAUUAGCUUUGAAAAAUGUCCUGAAGUUCACCCGUCCUUAAUUCAGCGUCCCUGCAGACCAGACCCGAGGACAGGGACGUCCAGCUCUGACAGGCAGGUCCAGCUGUCAGGAAGCAAACGGACAGAUGGCGUCGGCCAAAGGUGAACCAACAACAAGGAUGCGCUGCUUCUUCUGUCUGCUGGUCGGCGGGACGAGCGCCUCCUGAUUCCACCCAGAGUCAUGUGACCGCAGAGAGCCGGAUUGGGCCUGUUUCUCUGAGACAUCAACAAGGUUUAUGGAGGAAAGGUUGGUCUUCCGACCCGCUGCAGAAACAUCCCAGUGGAACAACGACUCCAGAAACCAGAAGUCAGCCCACCUGGUCCAGAGGUGAAGGGUCGCCGGCUUCCAGCCCUCAGCACUGAUCAUGAACUGAGCUCCACCUGUCAGGUCAGCAGCAGGAUAAAUGGAGGAUCCAGAAUGAUGAAUAUGAAACUUCUUACACAUCUGACAUGUUCCGUCACCUACAAUACAUCUUGGGAAAUGGUGGGCAGAGUAGGAGGAAGAGCUUUCGCUGCUUGGCUGUGACAGAAUCAGCCUUCGAACGACGCAGGUCCUGAAUCUGGACUCAAGCUAACGGUGCUACCAACCAGCUCAGGUCAGGAACGUAAGGUAAGGUCAUUUUAUUUAUAUAGCACAUUUU